GGGAUUUAAGAGUUGGAGGUGACACGUUCAAGUCCCUCAGGUUCAAGUCCAGGAUGGGGGACCAGCACCAUCCCACAAAUAGUUUUGGAUAGCUGUUCUGUACCAGGUUAUAAAGGACGAUUUCUUGAAGACACCAUCAACGGAAGGAGAGUGGCAUAGCCGUGGACUUCGAAAGGAAGUGGCAGUUUCCACAUUGCUUUGGGGUACUUACUACCACUCCAGCUGUAGCAGACUGCUGACCAAAACAUGGUUGAUGGGCAAUGGAAGAAUCGUGGGACGGGUGCUUUUCAACCGAUGAACACCACCUCACAUCGCAAUUGUAUGGCAACAGCAAAAGUGCAACGCAAUCUGAUGCGGGACUACUUUGUCUCACCAGCGUGUAGUGUUUAUUGGCAAGUUCAACACAUUUUAAAAGGAACUGAUGUAGAGUUAUCCCUGCAAACAGCAGAUUAAAGCCAGUUAUUGUCAGUUUAGGACAUUCGUUUUCUUGUGUGUUCUAAAGUCCUGUAUUUGUAAAGAACACAAUGUGGUUCACUUUUUCAUUGUUUUAAGUAUUCUGUUUAUUGUUGUGUUAUUAUUCAAUUAAUUUUAAUUGCAUACAAAUCAAAAGGUGCAGGAAUGUAACAAAUAAAGGCAAUCUGCAUGUUGCAA